rnacentral:tRNA from 1 species
GGUCAAGUGCUUUGGGCAUUGGACUAUGACUCUGAAGACCAGGGUUCAAAUCCCUGCAUGACCA